GACGAACGCUGGCGGCGUGCUUAACACAUGCAAGUCGAACGGAAAGGCCCUGCUUUUGUGGGGUGCUCGGGUGGCGAACGGGUGAGUAACACGUGAGUAACCUGCCCUUGACUUUGGGAUAACUUCAGGAAACUGGGGCUAAUACCGGAUAGGAGCUCCUGCUGCAUGGUGGGGGUUGGAAAGUUUCGGCGGUUGGGGAUGGACUCGCGGCUUAUGAGCUUGUUGGUGGGGUAGUGGCUUACCAAGGCUUUGACGGGUAGCCGGCCUGAGAGGGUGACCGGCCACAUUGGGACUGAGAUACGGCCCAGACUCCUACGGGAGGCAGAAGUGGGGAAUAUUGCACAAUGGGCGGAAGCCUGAUGCAGCAACGCCGCGUGCGGGAUGACGGCCUUCGGGUUGUAAACCGCUUUCGCCUGUGACGAAGCGUGAGUGACGGUAAUGGGUAAAGAAGCACCGGCUAACUACGUG
rnacentral:rRNA from 1 species